rnacentral:tRNA from 1 species
AAAAGUGAAGCAAUUAUUUUUUUGCAUUUCAUUUACACUGAAAAGAGAGUUUAUUUUAAACCACUUUUA